GGGUUAAACUGUCUCCUUUUUCAAAUCAGUGAAAUUAAUCUCCCCGUGAAGAAGCGGGGAUGCCCUUAUAAGACGAGAAGACCCCAUGGAGCUUCAAACCCAACUACACCCCUAACUCUUAUAGCCCCACAACCCCCCCCUAGGCUCCGUGUACUUGGUUUUAGGUUGGGGCGACCGCGGAGAACAGUAAAACCUCCACAAUGAAUGGGACCACCCCCUUAUCUAAGAGCCACACCCCUAAGAAUUAGAACACUAACAUAAAAUG
rnacentral:rRNA from 1 species